GAGGGGAGGGGGAGACGGAGGAGAGGCCCGGAGACAAUCGGGGGGACGGCACGGUGGGGGAACGGUGCGGGGUGCGAAAGCUGGAGAGGAGAGGGGUGAGGAGGGCGGGAAGGGGUGCGCGGGAGGGCGACAGCGGCGUGGGAGCAGGUGGGGGAUCUCGGUGAGCGCGGGAAAUGGAGGGUGUUGGGUGAGGGUGCUGCGUGCGGGCCCAGGUGCUGCGCGCGAGGGUGCGGAGUUGCUGGCAUGCAGGGUGCUUGCGCUGCGCGGAGGGGAGGGUGGCAGGGUGUUGCUGGAGGCUGUGCGAGGGUGGGGGCGCGGGCGUCGUGGGGUGCGGUGUGUGCGAAGGGAGAGCGUGGCCAGCGUGACGGGGGAGCGUAAGGGAGGGAGUGCGACGUGGGAAAGGAGCCAAUAGGCCCGCUCACUCUGUGCUCUGACAGAUGUCUCCUGCUCCAGCUGAAGGGGAACCUUGGGAGAUGUUGGUUUGGUUCUCACCUGUCAUCCUUAAGUCCCACCAU
rnacentral:lncRNA from 1 species